AGUAAUGUCCGCUAAACAAGCUUUUAGGCCUAUUCCCUAACCAUACAGGUGAGACCCCUG
rnacentral:tRNA from 1 species